rnacentral:rRNA from 1 species
UACGGAGGAUCCGAGCGUUGUCCGGAUUUAUUGGGUUUAAAGGGUGCGUAGGCGGUUUUAUAAGUCAGUGGUUAAAGACUCUCGCUCAACGAGAGGGAUGCCAUUGAUACUAUCUAUCUUGAAUAUUGUGGAGGUAAGCGGAAUAUGUCAUGUAGCGGUGAAAUGCUUAGAUAUGACAUAGAACACCUAUUGCGAAGGCAGCUUACUACGCAUAUAUUGACGCUGAGGCACGAAAGCGUGGGGAUCAAACAGG